rnacentral:rRNA from 1 species
GCUUAGAGAGGGGUCAAUGUCCUAUCAGCUAGUUGGUAAGGUAAUGGCUUACCAAGGCUAAGACGGGUAGUCGGCCUGAGAGGGUGGUCGGCCACACUGGGACUGAGACACUGCCCAGACUCCUACGGGAGGCUGCAGUCGAGAAUCUUUCGCAAUGCCCGAAAGGGUGACGAAGCGACGCCGCGUGUGGGAAGAAGGCCUUCGGGUUGUAAACCACUGUCGGGAGUUAAGAAAUGUAAGGGUGUUAAUAGCAUCCUUACUUGACUAAGGCUCCGGAGGAAGCCACGGCUAACUCUGUGCCAGCAGCCGCGGUAAUACAGAGGCGGCAAGCGUUGUUCGGAAUUAUUGGGCGUAAAGAGCACGUAGGCGGCUUUGUAAGUCAGUUGUGAAAGCCUUCCGCUUAACGGAAGAACAGCAUCUGAUACUGCAAGGCUAGAGUGCGGAAGGG